CGUGCCUAAUACAUGCAAGUCGAACGGUCUUUCUAUGGAAGCUUGCUUCCACUGAGAAGAUAGUGGCGAACGGGUGAGUAACACGUGGGUAACCUGCCCAUAAGAGGGGGAUAACAUCCGGAAACGGGUGCUAAUACCGCAUAGUUUUCUUGAUCGCAUGAUCGGGAAAGGAAAGACGGCCUUUGUGCUGUCGCUUAUGGAUGGACCCGCGGCGUAUUAGUUAGUUGGUGAGGUAACGGCUCACCAAGACGAUGAUACGUAGCCGACCUGAGAGGGUGAUCGGCCACAUUGGGACUGAGACACGGCCCAAACUCCUACGGGAGGCAGCAGUAGGGAAUCUUCCGCAAUGGACGAAAGUCUGACGGAGCAACGCCGCGUGAGUGAAGAAGGUUUUCGGAAUCGUAAAACUCUGUUGUCAGAGAAGAACAAGUUGGAGAGUAACUGCUCCAGCCUUGACGGUAUCUGACCAGAAAGCCACGGCUAACUACGUGCCAGCAGCUGC
rnacentral:rRNA from 1 species